UGUAUAAUGGGUCAGCGACUUAUAUUCUGUAGCAAGGUUAACCGAAUAGGGGAGCCGAAGGGAAACCGAGUCUUAACUGGGCGUUAAGUUGCAGGGUAUAGACCCGAAACCCGGUGAUCUAGCCAUGGGCAGGUUGAAGGUUGGGUAACACUAACUGGAGGACCGAACCGACUAAUGUUGAAAAAUUAGCGGAUGACUUGUGGCUGGGGGUGAAAGGCCAAUCAAACCGGGAGAUAGCUGGUUCUCCCCGAAAGCUAUUUAGGUAGCGCCUCGUGAAUUCAUCUCCGGGGGUAGAGCACUGUUUCGGCAAGGGGGUCAUCCCGACUUACCAACCCGAUGCAAACUGCGAAUACCGGAGAAUGUUAUCACGGGAGACACACGGCGGGUGCUAACGUCCGUCGUGAAGAGGGAAACAACCCAGACCGCCAGCUAAGGUCCCAAAGUCAUGGUUAAGUGGGAAACGAUGUGGGAAGGCCCAGACAGCCAGGAUGUUGGCUUAGAAGCAGCCAUCAUUUAAAGAAAGCGUAAUAGCUCACUGGUCGAGUCGGCCUGCGCGGAAGAUGUAACGGGGCUAAACCAUGCACCGAAGCUGCGGCAGCGACACUAUGUGUUGUUGGGUAGGGGAGCGUUCUGUAAGCCUGCGAAGGUGUACUGUGAGGUAUGCUGGAGGUAUCAGAAGUGCGAAUGCUGACAUAAGUAACGAUAAAGCGGGUGAAAAGCCCGCUCGCCGGAAGAC
rnacentral:rRNA from 1 species